GUUGGGUAGGGGAGCGUUCUGUAAGCCUGCGAAGGUGUACUGUGAGGUAUGCUGGAGGUAUCAGAAGUGCGAAUGCUGACAUAAGUAACGAUAAUGCGGGUGAAAAACCCGCACGCCGGAAGACCAAGGGUUCCUGUCCAACGUUAAUCGGGGCAGGGUGAGUCGACCCCUAAGGCGAGGCUGAAAAGCGUAGUCGAUGGGAAACGGGUUAAUAUUCCCGUACUGGUGGUAACUGCGAUGGGGGAACGGAGAAGGCUAGGUUGUCCGGGCGACGGUCGUCCCGGUUCAAGCAGGUAGGCAGAGUGAUUAGGCAAAUCCGGUCACUUAAUGCUGAGAUGUGAUGACGAACCACUAAGGUGGUGAAGCAAUUGAUGCCCCGCUUCCAGGAAAAGCCUCUAAGCUUCAGGUUACCAACAAUCGUACCCCAAACCGACACAGGUGGUCAGGUAGAGAAUACUCAGGCGCUUGAGAGAACUCGGGUGAAGGAACUAGGCAAAAUGGUGCCGUAACUUCGGGAGAAGGCACGCUGGCGGUAGGUAAAGUCCCUCGCGGACGGCGCUGAAGCCAGUCGAAGAUACCAGCUGGCUGCAACUGUUUAUUAAAAACACAGCACUGUGCAAACACGAAAGUGGACGUAUACGGUGUGACGCCUGCCCGGUGCUGGAAGGUUAAUUGAUGGGGUCAGCCGUAAGGCGAAGCUCCUGAUCGAAGCCCCAGUAAACGGCGGCCGUAACUAUAACGGUCCUAAGGUAGCGAAAUUCCUUGUCGGGUAAGUUCCGACCUGCACGAAUGGCGUAAUGAUGGCCAGGCUGUCUCCACCCGAGACUCAGUGAAAUUGAACUCGCUGUGAAGAUGCAGUGUACCCGCGGCAAGACGGAAAGACCCCGUGAACCUUUACUAUAGCUUGACACUGAACAUUGAGCCUUGAUGUGUAGGAUAGGUGGGAGGCUUUGAAGUGUGGACGCCAGUCUGCAUGGAGCCAACCUUGAAAUACCACCCUUUAACGUUUGAUGUUCUAACCUAGGCCCAUAAACUGGGUCGGGGACCGUGUCUGGUGGGUAGUUUGACUGGGGCGGUCUCCUCCUAAAGAGUAACGGAGGAGCACGAAGGUUGGCUAAGCAUGGUCGGACAUCAUGCGGUUAGUGCAAAGGCAUAAGCCAGCUUGACUGCGAGAGUGACGGCUCGAGCAGGUACGAAAGUAGGUCUUAGUGAUCCGGUGGUUCUGAAUGGAAGGGCCAUCGCUCAACGGAUAAAAGGUACUCCGGGGAUAACAGGCUGAUACCGCCCAAGAGUUCAUAUCGACGGCGGUGUUUGGCACCUCGAUGUCGGCUCAUCACAUCCUGGGGCUGAAGUAGGUCCCAAGGGUAUGGCUGUUCGCCAUUUAAAGUGGUACGCGAGCUGGGUUUAGAACGUCGUGAGACAGUUCGGUCCCUAUCUGCCGUGGGCGUUGGAAGAUUGAGAGGGGUUGCUCCUAGUACGAGAGGACCGGAGUGAACGCACCACUGGUGUUCGGGUUGUCAUGCCAAUGGCAUUGCCCGGUAGCUAAGUGCGGAAGAGAUAACCGCUGAAAGCAUCUAAGCGGGAAACUUGCCUCGAGAUGAGUCUUCCCUGUC
rnacentral:rRNA from 1 species